UACGAAGGGUGCAAGCGUUGCUCGGAAUUAUUGGGCGUAAAGGGUAGGUAGGUUGUCUUGUUUGUCUAAGGUGAAAUCCCAUGGCUUAACUGUGGAAGUGCCUUAGAAACGGCAAGACUAGAGUCCUAGAGGGGUUUGUGGAAUUCCCGGUGUAGCGGUGAAAUGCGUAGAGAUCGGGAGGAACACCAGCGGCGAAGGCGGCAAACUGGAUAGGAACUGACACUCAACUACGAAAGCGUGGGGAUCAAACAGG
rnacentral:rRNA from 1 species